UUAACACAAAUUUGUAUGGAGUUGGAAUCUUUGUCUACGUUUGCCGCUAGGGGCGUUGUUCCAACUGCAUACAAAUUUGAGUUA
rnacentral:pre_miRNA from 1 species